rnacentral:rRNA from 1 species
CAGCAGCAGCCACGGUAAUACGGAGGGGGCUAGCGUUGUUCGGAAUUACUGGGCGUAAAGCGCACGUAGGCGGCUUUGUAAGUAAGAGGUGAAAGCCUGGAGCUCAACUCCAGAAUUGCCCUUAAGACUGCAUCGCUUGAAUCCAGGAGAGGUGAGUGGAAUUCCGAGUGUAGAGGUGAAAUUCGUAGAUAUUCGGAAGAACACCAGUGGCGAAGGCGGCUCACUGGACUGGUAUUGACGCUGAGGUGCGAAAGCGUGGGGAGCAAACAGGAUUAGAUACCCCCGUAGUCCCUGUCUCUUAUAC